rnacentral:tRNA from 1 species
UGUCCUGUGGUGUAACGGUAGCACAUCGGAUUCUGGUUCCGCUUGUGAGGGUUCGAAUCCUUCCAGGACAAC